GGGAGAGAGCGUCAAUCCGAAAGCCAGCCAGUGAGAGAGAGGAGGGAGCCCGCCCAGGGUUAACAGUUGAGUGUGCACCGGCCAGCAGCAGCAACAGCAGGAACAGCAAGCGGCCAGACAAGCCAGCCACCGCCAUGGAUCCCGAGGCAUUUUUAGAGAUGGCCAACCAGGUCACAAAACUGAAAAUGUAUCCGUAUUUUGACAUAGCUCACUGUACCCUGUGCUGCCUCUACGUGAGAGACGAUUUGGGCACCGGCUCCCUCCCCUUCUCUCGCAAACACCCUCUGGCAAACUGGCUUUCCACAAUGCUUACUAUCUUUGCUGGUGGCCUCCUCACCAACUUCCUCCUGGGUGAGCCUGUCUUGGGGGCUCUCAAGAAUAACCAACAGCUGCUCCUGGCCACUGCUGUCUGGUAUGUCAUCUUUUACUCUCCUUUCGAUAUUGGAUACAAGAUUGCCAAGUUCCUCCCUAUCAAAGUUCUUCUGGCAGCCAUGAAGGAAGUUUACAGGGUUAAGAAGAUCAAUGAUGGAGUGACGCAUGCUGCCAAGGUCUUCCCCAACGGCUACCUUAGCAUGAUCCUCAUUGGCACAAUCAAGGGCAAUGGAUCAGGCUUCCUCAAAAUAAUGGAAAGGUUGAUGCGCGGUGUCUGGACUCCUACUGCUGUGGAGGUCAUGCAACCCACCUUCCCCACCAAGGCUUCCAUUGCUGCUGCUAUCAUCUUUGUGUUGGACAAGAAGACUGACCUCAUUUCUGCUCCCCAUGCCCUUGUUUACUUUGGUAUCUGCAUCUUCUUUGUCUACUUCAAGCUUUCUUCUCUGCUCCUUGGGAUCCAUGAUCCCUUCAUACCUUUCGAGAACCUCUUCUGUGCUAUUUUCAUGGGAGGCAUCUGGGACUCUCUGGCCCAGACCCUGGCUGGCAAAAAGGGUGCUGCAGCUGAGAAGGGGUCUGAUGCUGUCAAAAAUGGUAAUGGGAAAAACAAGCGUGAUUGAAGGAGACCGGGUUGUGUGGCUUAAGUAGCGUGAGUCCACUAACUGACCCUGACCUGUCUGUUCAAAGCAUGAUAUGGAAUUCUAAGCUGAUAACUUAGUCACAAAUAUAACAACAUCUGUGGAAUUGGCUAUUGGAUGAUGUGAGACUAUGGAGAAGACUAAAUGAAGCUAAACGACUGCAACUCAUCGACCUUACUUGUGGACCUCCCAGCCUCCCCUCCACCCACCGUGUGUGUUUGUGUGUGCAUGUGUGUGUUUCAGGUCCACUCAGCGGUUGUGUAAUAUACAGAUACAUGUAAUAACAAUAUGUAUAGGCCACAAACUUCACCUCAAAUAAGGGUUGUGAUGGCCUGUGUAUGUGCGGGGGAUGAAGGGGAGGCAAACUUGUGCUAUGUGUCACUGUUUGAUUAUUAAUGUUAGAAAAAAAUUGCUAAAACGGUUUUGGGCGCUUUUGAUAUAUUCUUAAACUGAAUAUGUACAAUGAAAUACACCUACUGCCUAUAGAGAAGGCUGCAAAUAUCUUAUGUAGUAAGAAACAUCAGGUACAAACAUUUUUUACCAGAAGAUGUUAGAGAAAUUUUAUAAGAAUAUGUAUUAUGAUGCUGAAGUAUGAAAAUUAAGGCCAAGUACUCAUAUUGAGAAAACACCAAAAAAUUUCUGUUACCAGUAAUUUUUGCAGGUUAUACUCUGUGUGUGUGUGUGUGUGUGUGUGUGUGUGUGUGUGUGUGUGUGUGUGUGUGUGUGUGUAUGUGUGCAGAUGUCUGAAUGUAGGAAAGAUCCAAUAGUAGGUGUUGAUGUCUUUUUACUAGUCAUUGUGUGUGUGAGUGAGUGGGUGGAUGUGUGCAUGUAUGUACUUGUUUGAUUAUGAUCUCGAUAGUGUCAUAUCUCAGAUUCUAUGUCUACUACUAGUCUACAUGCGUCUGUGUGCGUGCCUACUCCCCUGUUCAUGCAUGUGUGUAUAUCCUCAAAUAAAGCAUCCUUACAAAUAUAAUCAAGAAAAUCUAGUUUUUGUCUCAUGUGAAAUGAAACAACCUUGUUAAAUUUUUUGCAAAAAAGUAAAAUUUUUGAUCCUA
rnacentral:misc_RNA from 1 species